rnacentral:lncRNA from 1 species
GGCUAUGGAUUUAUGAUAAUGGUCUCAUGUUUCUAUUACUCAAUGAUGUUGUUCUUCUUGUUGAUAAAAAUAAGAAAUAAAUAUGUGAUGGUCACAUAUCUCAGGACAAGCAAGGUAUUAGGUCUUGAACAUAUGGAUGUUUAAAGGUUAAUAAUAUUUUGACCCAGAGAUGGAUACUUCAUAUAAGAUAUGGUGUGUUCCUUAAAUUGCUUCACAGAUCUUGUUAUCUCAUUCUGGGGAUAUGCCCUAGAAAUUACUGCAUGUGUUAUGAAUUAGAUACCGUUAAAAUCUAUUACUAGUACUCCAUAUAUGAUAUGGAAAGAGGCAGGUUGUCCAGCUUAUGUGAAAGAGUUGAUGUAUAUAAGUUUUGUGCUAGAUCAGAUUAGUAUAUAUUUAUAGGUUAUCCUCAAGAGUAGUAUAUGAUACUAUUUCUACCAUCCUACUGGACAAAAGAUAUUUUUUCAGUAGGUAUGCCACCUUUUGAAAAAAAAAAUUAAGAAGGGAACAGUGAGAGAUACUUGAACUUGAGAAGUUCAAGAUCCAUAAACUAUCCUAUCAUAACCU